rnacentral:rRNA from 1 species
CGUGAGUGAUGAAGGCUUUCGGGUCGUAAAGCUCUGUCAAGUGGGAAGAACUUGCCAGAUAUUAAUACCAUCUGGCACUGACGGUACCACUAAAGGAAGCACCGGCUAACUCCGUGCCAGCAGCCGCGGUAAUACGGGGGGUGCAAGCGUUAUUCGGAAUUAUUGGGCGUAAAGGGCGCGUAGGCGGUCUCUAAAGUCAGAUGUGAAAGCCCGGGGCUUAACCUUGGAAGUGCAUCUGAAACUUAGGGACUUGAGUAUGGGAGAGGGAGGUGGAAUUCCUGGUGUAGCGGUGAAAUGCGUAGAUAUCAGGAGGAACACCAGUGGCGAAGGCGACUUCCUGGACCAAUACUGACGCUGAGGCGCGAAGGCGUGGGGAGCAAACAGGAUUAGAUACCCUGGUAGUCCACGCAGUAAACGGUGAACACUAGGUGUAGCGGGUAUUGACCCCUGCUGUGCCGCAGCUAACGCAUUAA